rnacentral:misc_RNA from 1 species
GAAAUUUGGAUUGAUUUUGGCUCUAAUACCAAAAUUGAUGUAGAACAAAAAGAAAAAAAUCAAGAAGACAGAAAUUUACGUGGUUCGUCACAUUAUAGAGUGACUACUACACGUCCACGGAGAAAGGAUCUGAAAGCUUCUAUUAAAUAAUACAUGGUAGGACGACAUCCACUCUUCCCCAAAAAAUAAAUAAUGCAAGCCAGGGUUCUUUGAUGUUACUUUACAUUACUUUACAUACCAGGGUUCUUUGAUGUUACUUUACAUUACUUUACAUACAGUCCCAUCUACACGGAGAGAUUUGGAUGGUAAAUGCAGUUCUUUUUUGAGACCUCUGCCUUGUCUUGAAACUGAAUUGUUGAAAUGAAGGACACUGGCAACUGGCACCAAACUUCUAUUUCAGCAUGCGACAUGCAAGAACAAGGGUGUACUGAGAUCUGAGACUUCAAUGAAUCCAGCUUUUCUAUCCUCAUGAUCAUCUUCAGCGGAUGCGAGUCAAAUGGGAAAAUAGCUCGGGAUUUGCUUUUGUAGUAGGUUUAGCCACUUCU